GGCGAACGGGGGAGUAACAACGUGAGAAAUUUUCCCCUUUAGACCGGGAUAACUACUGGAAACGGGUUUGUAAUACCGGAUGUUUUCUUUGUACCGCAUGGUACUUAGAGAAAAGCUUAGAUGCACUAAAGGAUGAUCUCGCGGCGUAUUAGUUAGUUGGUGAGAUAGUGGCUCACCAAGACAAUGAUACGUAGCCGGCCUGAGAGGGUGACCGGCCACACUGGGACUGAGACACGGCCCAGACUCCUACGGGAGGCAGCAGUAGGGAAUCAUCGGCAAUGGGGGGAACCCUGACCGUGCAAUGCCGCGUGAGUGAUGAAGGCCUUCGGGUUGUAAAACUCUGUUGCGAAGGAAGAACAACCUAGAUAGAAUCUAGGUCUGACGGUACUUCGCCAGAAAGCCAUGGCUAACUACGUGCCAGCAGCCGCGGUAAUACGUAGAUGGCGAGCGUUAUCCGGAUUUAUUGGGCGUAAAGGGUGCUCAGCUGGUUUGUUAAGUCUGUAGUUAAAAUUCGAAGCUCAACUUCGAAGUGCUAUGGAAACUGAUAAACUUGAGUGCAGAAGAGGGUAGUGGAAUUCCAAGUGUAGCGGUGAAAUGCGUAGAUAUUUGGAGGAACACCAGUGGCGAAGGCGACUUACUGGUCUGUAAUUGACGCUGAGGCUCGAAAGCGUGGGUAGCAAACAGGAUUAGAUACCCUGGUAGUCCACGCCGUAAACGAUGAGUGCUAAGUGUUAGGGGGUUUCCGCCCCUUAGUGCUGGAGUUAACGCAUNAAGC
rnacentral:rRNA from 1 species